GGAAAGUCCCCCUUACCUUAUCAUUUAGAGGAAGGAGAAGUCGUAACAAGGUUUCCGUAGGUGAACCUGCGGAAGGAUCAUUG
rnacentral:rRNA from 1 species